rnacentral:snoRNA from 1 species
UGAUGAUGGUGAGGGCAAUUUCUGAGAAUACUUUUAAAUCUCUCCCAAGCUUGGUAGAGAUUCUCUCCCAAGCUUGGUAGAGAUUCUCUCCUUCUUUCUAUCUAAAACUCAGAAUCUUGCUUCUCAAAUG